UACGUAGGGUGCGAGCGUUAAUCGGAAUUACUGGGCGUAAAGCGUGCGCAGGCGGCUUCGCAAGUCAGACGUGAAAUCCCCGGGCUUAACUUGGGAACUGCGUCUGAUACUGGUUGGCUUGAAUUCGGGAGAGGGAUGCAGAAUUCCAGGUGUAGCGGUGAAAUGCGUAGAUAUCGGGAGGAACACCUGAGGCGAAGGCGGGCUACUGGGCCGAUACUGACGCUGAGGCGCGAAAGCGUGGGGAGCGAACAGG
rnacentral:rRNA from 1 species